rnacentral:piRNA from 1 species
UAUUAUUGCUAUUUUAUUUCC